rnacentral:rRNA from 1 species
GACGAACGCUGGCGGCGUGCUUAACACAUGCAAGUCGAACGGAAAGACCCUGCUUUUGUGGGUUGCUCGAGUGGCGAACGGGUGAGUAACACGUGAGUAACCUGCCCUUGACUUUGUGAUAACUUCAGGAAACUGGGGCUAAUACCGGAUAGGAUCUCCUGCUGCAUGGUGGGGGUUGGAAAGUUUCGGCGGUUGGGGAUGGACUCGCGGCUUAUCAGCUUGUUGGUGGGGGAGUGGCUUACCAAGGCUUUGACGGGUAGCCGGACUGAGAGGGUGACCGGCGAAAUUGGGACUGAGAUAAGGCCCAGACUCCAACGGGAGGCAGCAGUGGGGAAUAUUGCAGAAUGGGCGGAAGCCUGAGGAAGAAACGCCGCGUGCGGGAUGACGGCCUUCGGGUUGUAAACCGCUUUCGCCUGUGACGAAGCGUGAGUGACGGUAAUGGGUAAAGAAGCACCGGCUAACUACGUG